rnacentral:tRNA from 2 species
GGGCCUGUAGCUCAGUUGGUAGAGCGUUGCAUUCGCAUUGCAGAGGUAGAGGGUUCGAAUCCCUUCGGGUCCACCA